GGUUUCUUGGAAGGUCUGGUCUGCCCGGCAAUCUUUUCUCUUCCUGAACUCUCCUUGUGCUCAGAAUGGCUCCCCGACCACUUACAAAGUGGGUCCUGUGCGAACCAUUUUAUGUUCAUUGUCCUUUCUAGGGACUUGGCUCCAUGGAGUUCUUCAAAAGAGGAAUUAAAGACUCAGGGACCGUGCCAUUCGCUGUGCUUCUCAAAUCAUCAUCAGCUGCUUUUGAGGAUGAACAACAGAGCCCCAGGAGCUGCUCCCAUAAAUGACUUCCAAUACAUUGCGGAGAGAGACUAUUAUUCAGAUGCCUGCUAUUACACGGCCUGCACUCGGCCGUUCCACACCGCGCCUCUCCUGACUCGCUUUCAGAGAUCCACUGUCGUCAGCAAAGGGAGAGUGGGCCUGGAGCUUCCGGGAAAGUGCUCUGAGUUGGUGAAAGCUCCCGGAAUGGCAGGCAUUCACAGUUGCAAGUUGCCACCUGGAACCAAUCCACUGAAAGAACCUACAGAAUGGGAGACACUAACCUACCAAGGCACCCUUUUGGUUUGGAAAUGCCACAGCCAGGCUAUCUGGCUGAAUGAAUCUGGC
rnacentral:lncRNA from 1 species